rnacentral:misc_RNA from 1 species
UUUCCGUAGGUGAACCUGCGGAAGGAUCAUUAAAGAAUUUGCCCCGUCCUCUCGAGGAUGGGUCCUCUUCUAAACCGUGUAUACAUACCUUUGUUGCUUUGGCGGGCCACCGUCUCGGCGUUGGCUUCGGCUGACUGUGCCCGCCAGAGAACCCCAACUCUUCUGUUUAGUAUUGUCUGAGUACUAUAUAAUAGUUAAAACUUUCAACAACGGAUCUCUUGGUUCUG